rfam:Rattus norvegicus chromosome 6, whole genome shotgun sequence.
GGGGAUUUGGCUCAGUGGUAGAGCGCUUGCCUAGGAAGUGCAAGGUCCUGGGUUCGGUACCCAGCCAGCCCCA